rnacentral:lncRNA from 1 species
GAAGUUUGAUUGUCUGUUUCAGGAUUUUAGGCCCUUUCUGCUCAAUCACGUAGAACCUUUUUUCUGAUUUGACUUUUUAGCUUUAGGGGACUCCGUUGUUACUCAAAUUUGAUCGAGCCAGAGGGGGUGAGACCCACCCUAGUUGUCGCAGGUAGACUCGUGGCAGACCGCGGGUAGAUUUAAACCUCUCCUAGCCCUUCAAAAGUCAUUUUCAACUUGAACUUACUAAAAAAUCCAAAAAUUUUCUCUCAGAUCUACUCAGUUUGAGCUGCUUUUCGUUAAAUCCAUCACCGUAUAAUCGUUCUGCACAACUCUGGUAAUGUUUACAUCCUUUCUUUUCA